rnacentral:rRNA from 1 species
UACGGGGGGGGGCAAGCGUUGUUCGGAAUUACUGGGCGUAAAGGGCUCGUAGGCGGCCAACUAAGUCAGACGUGAAAUCCCUCGGCUUAACCGGGGAACUGCGUCUGAUACUGGAUGGCUAGAGUUUGGGAGAGGGAUGCGGAAUUCCAGGUGUAGCGGUGAAAUGCGUAGAUAUGCGGAGGAACACCGAUGGCGAAGGCAAUCCCCUGGACCUGUACUGACGCUCAUGCACGAAAGGCGUG